AUGGAUGGGAUGAAGUAUAAAACCAUAUUGCUGAAGAACAAGACCACAAAGGGACCAUACUUCUGGGCUGUCCUGGGAAUCUGUAGAGCCUUCAGGGAGGAACAGGAAAGAGCAGCAGCUUGGUGUAUUCUUCAGCUGAUGAACAUCUGCUGCUGGAGAGAGAAUCUUGAACGUAUGCCACCCACCAAGCUCAGAAUUAAACCGAGCAGGAUUCUAAAGGAAGUCAGCAUAUUGCCACAGUGUGGGAAGCUUCCACUUAAGAAAAGGUGAAUUUAAUUUCUCUUCUGAAUUCCAAGUACACAAACCUCCCCAGGUAGAUGUCACCCAGAGUCACCCUGCAUGCUGUGCACACCAUUGCUGGUUGUUUCUGGGAUUCACAGAGGAUGAAGGAGUGAUGAG
rnacentral:lncRNA from 1 species